rnacentral:rRNA from 1 species
CGGGGGGGCGAGCGUUGUUCGGAAUUACUGGGCGUAAAGGGCGCGUAGGCGGUUCGCUAAGUUGGAUGUGAAAACUCUGGGCUCAACCCAGAGCCUGCAUCCAAAACUGGCGGGCUAGAGUUCUGGAGGGGGUAGCGGAAUUCCUGGUGUAGCGGUGAAAUGCGUAGAUAUCAGGAGGAACACCGGUGGCGAAGGCGGCUACCUGGACAGAAACUGACGCUGAGGCGCGAAAGCUAGGGGAGCAAACAGGAUUAGAUACCCUGGUAGUCCUAGCCCUAAACGAUGGAUACUUGGUGUGACUGGGAUUGAAUCCAGUCGUGCCGAAGCUAACGCAUUAAGUAUCCCGCCUGGGGAGUACGGUCGCAAGGCUG